UACAGUGUGGUGUAGUGGUCUGAGCACUAGACUACGACUCUAGAGACCAAGGUUCAAUUCCCAGCUCAGCCA
rnacentral:tRNA from 1 species